rnacentral:tRNA from 1 species
AUUUAUUUAGUAUAAAAAAUAUGUUUAAUUUCCAAUUAAAAGAUUUAAUAAUUUAAAAUAAAUA